CAGUAACAAAAGAGUAAAAUGGAAAAAUCUCCAGGAAAGAUGUUACUGAAGUAAAGACUGGUUGAUUCUUGAAAGUUUGAAUCUUUAAGAGAGACUGAACAUUAUGUUAAAUUAGUGUAGGAGAGUUGACUCUUUGCUUUGUAAAAGCUUGAUUCAAGAGGAUUGAGUGAUGUUGUUUAUUCUUUUGGUGAAGGAUUGAUUUUAGAGGAUGAUUAAUAGAGGUACAAGUGGGACCUAGUAUGUGCAGAUUUUUAGUAGUCAUGUAAUUUAGUUGUCAAACGAGCUGCGCUACUUGACCUGAGUACAGGUGUCCCUUGUGGGUCUUUGUCCAUAGCUUAAAGUCUUGUCCUCGUGAUACCUUAAAAUUUAUGGUAUGUGGCCAAUAUCAAAAUAUAAACAAUUUUUACUUUAAUUCUUGUGAUAAAUGAUGUCUACCAUCAUCUAAUCUUUACAAAUGCACAAUUCGCAUAAAUCAGAAAUAGGCACGAAAGAAGUUAAGCGGCAGCAAUAUGAUUUCAAUCUCCUGAUCAAUCCAAAGAAUCACAUGCUUUAACAUACCCUUUUUUCGGGUUUUUUGGUCAAACAUCGGUUGUCAAUGUCUUUAAAUUAAUAUAAACAAAAGAAAAAUAGUGAAGGGUUGACAUGCGGACAAUCAUUUUUUUAUGUGUUUUGGAUUCAUGUCCAAUAAUAUCACGUGGAGCUAUAAUAUGACAAACUUUGUUGAAAUAUAGAGUACCUCAAAUAAUCCAACAGCAAGCCAGGGACCUGCAACAUCUGAGAGCAAUAAUUUACCGGUGUCAAGGCCAAAAUCAUGUUCAGGUCUUUCUAAGCCCAGUUCGGGUGGCUCAAAAGACAUUAAUUUUGUGGAUCAUACGGGGUUGGUGAAAAAUGAAAGCACCACAGCUGCAAUAACCAAGGCUGAUAAGGAGCUUCUGGCAAAGAACAGAGGCAAUGCUAUGCAACGGUACAAGGAAAAGAAGAAAACCCGGAGAUAUGAUAAGCAUAUACGGUAUGAAUCAAGGAAGGAAAGAGCUGAUACAAGGAAAAGAUUUAAAGGUCGAUUUGUGAAGGCUAGUGAAGCUCCAGUUGGAUAGGCGACUUAAUAUCAAUAAUUCUGUAAUCACAUAUUUCUUGCUUUGCUUGUAUGUAUAACUUCAUAUUGCCAAAUGGUCUUGUUCAAACAAGAUGUGUGAUUUUCCCAAGUGCUCUCUGUGAGGUUGUGCGCAAAUAGUUGCAAUGAUCAUAUGACUCCAUGUUAUGCGACGAUCUUAUCAUGUUAAUGGGUAGGAAGAUGGUUUUGUGUUUCAGAA